AUUGAACGCUGGCGGCAGGCCUAACACAUGCAAGUCGAGCGGAUGAAGGGAGCUUGCUCCUGGAUUCAGCGGCGGACGGGUGAGUAAUGCCUAGGAAUCUGCCUGGUAGUGGGGGAUAACGUCCGGGAACGGGCGCUAAUACCACAUACGUCCUGAGGGAGAAAGUGGGGGAUCUUCGGACCUCACGCUAUCAGAUGAGCCUAGGUCGGAUUAGCUAGUUGGUGGGGUAAAGGCCUACCAAGGCGACGAUCCGUAACUGGUCUGAGAGGAUGAUCAGUCACACUGGAACUGAGACACGGUCCAGACUCCUACGGGAGGCAGCAGUGGGGAAUAUUGGACAAUGGGCGAAAGCCUGAUCCAGCCAUGCCGCGUGUGUGAAGAAGGUCUUCGGAUUGUAAAGCACUUUAAGUUGGGAGGAAGGGCAGUAAGUUAAUACCUUGCUGUGUUGACGUUACCAACAGAAUAAGCACCGGCUAACUUCGUG
rnacentral:rRNA from 1 species